ensembl:snoRNA
AACACUUGUGUGUGUUUAACUUGUGAACAAAUAUUUAUAGACAGGUACAAGCAUAAAUCCUCUUUUGCAAUCCAUAACUCAUUGUUCAUUAUGAGUUUGGUAAAUGUAAUCAGGGAUAUU